GCAUGCAAGGGUGAUCUGGCUGUGACAUCUGUCAUCUUAUUGACCACCAGGAUUAAUUCAGCUGAUCUGGCUGGCUAGGCAGGUGUCCCCUUCCUCCCUCAGCACUCCAUGUGCCUCUCUCCUGAAGCUGUGCGCUCAGUUGAAGUGGAUGACCAUCUCCGACAGAGGAGGACCGGCCUUCGGUCAAGGGUACAGAGUAGCUGAGCUCCCCUGCUAGAACCUCCAGACAAGCUCUCAAGAUUCAACAUAUUCAUUCAUGCAGUAGAGUUUUAUGUUUUUUUUUUUUUUGAAGGUUUUGUCUGAGCCAGACCCUGAAGA
rnacentral:snRNA from 10 species